rnacentral:lncRNA from 1 species
CGCAAAAAAACGCAACUUAGAAAGUGCAGAGGAUGAAGCUCCAGUGACUACAAUGAAGCCAAUAAAGCAAGAAAUACUGAUGUGGCAAAACAAGGCGGAAGUAUUACAAAAUAAAGUGAAUGAGUUGGAAGCCUUGAACACCGAGCUUCGGCAGCAAGUAGUGGAGCUUUCAGCGCAGCAAAAUGACCUGAUUCCUAGUACAUCAGUGGUACGUGAAGAAACUGGUGCUGUUGACCUAUCUAGUGAUGGGAACACAUCAACUGAUGUAGAGUCAUCAGUCACAGAAGAUUCAUGUGAUGACUCUUCUGACUCUUCAAGUUCAAGUUCAGAAGAGACUCAUCAAAGAAGAAAAACAAAGAAAAGCAAAACCAAGAAAAACAAAACCAAGAAACAUAAGAAGAACAAGAAGAAGGGCAAGAAGAAUGAAUAUGACAAGAUAAAACGAGGUACAUACAGUUGUCUUUUUAUGGUUGUUUUUCUGUUUACAUCGUAGUGAAUGAUAAG